UCAUUUAUAUUAUUUCUUUCUUAUUCAUCCUUGUUUUCUUUCUCUUUCUUUCUUCUCUGUUCCUCCUCUCCUCCUUUCUGUGCCGAUCUUAAAUGAGAGGUUGUGUCCGUGAUUCUUGUUUGAGUAAGCUUCGUAGUUUGGUAUAUUAAUGGUGAUUAAGCUAGUUUAUCAUUGGAUGAAGAAGAAAUUGUUAAUUAAAGAAAAUCAGAGUGUUAGGGUUUGAGUUUGGGUUUCAUCCAUGGAAGAAUUGAGUAAUUAAAGAUGUAUCUGGGUGGUUGAUGAUGAAGAACGAAUGGGUCGUUUUUUAAUUGAUGUUUUGGAAUAGUUUUGAGAAGAGCUAGGGUUUCUGAGAUAAAACCGAAGAUUAAGGUUAAUGAAACCAAUUGAUGUUGAUGAAAUCAAGAUGAAGAAGUUGAUGAAUAAGAAGAAGUUAGAAGAUGGGUAAGUUCUUAAUUGGUGUUUGAUUGAAGCUAUAGAAUUAUUUGAGAUUCUGAAUAGGGAAUGAGGGUUCUUAAUAGAUUUGGGAUUUAGAGUUGAUUUGUGAAUGGUUUUGAGUAACAGUGAACUAGAGUUUAGUUGGGAACUGUCAGUGAUAAAUUUCAAGACCAUGAAAGAAUUAAAGGGUUACCAUGGAGGUGACUGAUGAUAUAGAAAUUCAGAAGAUGCUAGUAUUUGGGGGAAUGUGCAGAUGAGUAUUGUUCUAAAUUAGUGUUUUUGUGUGGUGUUGAGCUGAGAUGCUGCUGUAAAUUGUGGAACUGGUGGAGAAGAUUGUGAUUGUGCUUAAUUGGAUUGCAGAGUGGUUUGGUGUACUGAAUGCUAAAGAUUUUCCUGAAUUGGAGUUGCUGGUGAUUAUGAUUUAGUACUGGUAAUUGCAGAUGCAGUUGGGAGUAAGAGAUGAUGGUGUUGGUGUUCAUGGAUAAAUGGUGGAGGUCUGGAUAUGUAUGUGCUGGUGGUUGUUUGAUCAUGUAGCUGAGAUUACUCUGUUUGCAGAAGAGUUGCAGUUACUGGAAUUGGUUGUGCUAAUGGUAAGUCAGUUAGGGAAACAGUCUUGCAGUUUAGGAAGACUAGUGAUUAGGUUGGUUUAGUUGGGAACCUGAAGUUGCAGAAUAAUGAAUAUAGAGUUGUAGGUAGUCGUUGCUGUGAAAAGAUUAAAGCUGCAACUGCUGGUAAGCGGUAUUUGUAUUUGAGAAAAAGUUAUAAAGUUUCUUCUAAAUGAAUGAAUUGGUAUUGUGUUUA